rnacentral:rRNA from 1 species
CAGCCGCCACGGUAAUACGUAGGUGGCAAGCGUUGUCCGGAAUUAUUGGGCGUAAAGCGCGCGCAGGUGGUUUAAUAAGUCUGAUGUGAAAGCCCACGGCUCAACCGUGGAGGGUCAUUGGAAACUGUUAAACUUGAGUGCAGGAGAGAAAAGUGGAAUUCCUAGUGUAGCGGUGAAAUGCGUAGAGAUUAGGAGGAACACCAGUGGCGAAGGCGGCUUUUUGGCCUGUAACUGACACUGAGGCGCGAAAGCGUGGGGAGCAAACAGGAUUAGAUACCCGGGUAGUCCCUGUCUCUUAUAC